GGGGAAUGGGGAGGAAAGGUUAACUGAAAGAGGCAGUCUAUCUUGAAUCUGGAUAAGAAGCAAAAGUCAUGUGCUUUCAUUCCCACGUCUAGGAGAUGAUUCUUCAACCUAACUUUUCAAGCCCUUCUGUUGGCAUAGUCAUCAGGUUCAUCAUCGUCAUCCCUGUAAUUUCCUUCUGUGGCAGGUUCAUCUGGAGAAAACUCCCCAGCACCAUCACCCACGCUGCUGCUCUCAUUGGUACCCAACUGAUCAGCCCCACCACUGGCAAAGCUGCUGCCACCACCACUAGGAAAGCCGCUACUGCUUCCAGCAGCACCACCAACAUAAUUGUCACUACCACCAGCA
rnacentral:lncRNA from 1 species